rnacentral:rRNA from 1 species
AGUCGUGGGGCAGCAUGGUGGUAGCAAUAUCACUGAUGGCGACCGGCAAACGGGUGCGGAACACGUACAGAACCUUCCUUUAAGUGGGGGAUAGCCCGGGGAAACCCGGAUUAAUACCCCGUAACAUGAUGAAGUGGCAUCACUUUAUUAUUAUAGCAGCAAUGCGCUUAAUGAUGGCUGUGCGGCUGAUUAGGUAGUUGGCGGGGUAACGGCCCACCAAGCCUACGAUCAGUAACUGGUGUGAGAGCACGACCAGUCACACGGGCACUGAGACACGGGCCCGACUCCUACGGGAGGCAGCAGUAAGGAAUAUUGGGCAAUGGACGCAAGUCUGACCCAGCCAUGCCGCGUGGAGGAUGAAGGUCCUCUGGAUUGUAAACUUCUUUUAUCUGGGAAGAAAUCUAUUUUUUCUAAAGUAGUUGACGGUACCAGAUGAAUAAGCACCGGCUAACUCCGUGCCAGCAGCCGCGGUAAUACGGAGGGUGCAAGCGUUAUCCGGAUUCACUGGGUUUAAAGGGUGCGUAGGUGGGUUGGUAAGUCAGUGGUGAAAUCUCCAGGCUUAACUUGGAAACUGCCAUUGAUACCAUCAAUCUUGAAUACCGUGGAGAUGAGCGGAAUAUGUCAUGUAGCGGUGAAAUGCUUAGAUAUGACAUAGAACACCAAUUGCGAAGGCAGCUCGUUACACGAAUAUUGACACUGAUGCACGAAAGCGUGGGGAUCAAACAGGAUUAGAUACCCUGGUAGUCCACGCCCUAAACGAUGGAUACUCGACAUUUGCGAUAAACUGCAAGUGUCUGAGCGAAAGCAUUAA